rnacentral:misc_RNA from 1 species
UCUCCGUUGGUGAACCAGCGGAGGGAUCAUUACAGGACUCGCAAGACUCCUUCACCCUGUGAACCUCACUACAAGCACGUUGCUUCGGCGGGUGUCCCGGCGGGGGUUUUCCCUCGCCGGGGCGCACAGCCCGCCGGCAGCCUACUAUACUCUGUCUCUUUGCGUUGGCAUCUCGAGAAAAAACAAACAAGUUAAAACUUUCAACAACGGAUCUCUUGGUUCUGGCAUCGAUGAGAACGCAGC